GCCGCGGUAAUUCCAGCUCCAAUAGCGUAUAUUAAAGUUGUUGCGGUUAAAAAGCUCGUAGUUGGAUUUCUGUCAACGAGUGGCGCUCCGCCCCCUGUGGUGAGUAGUCGUCAUGCCGUUGGCAUCUUUCUGGGGAGUGUAUCUGCACUUCAUUGUGUGGUGCAUAAGCCAGGACAUUUACUUUGAGGAAAUGAGAGUGUUUCAAGCAGGCGCACGCCGUGAAUACGUUAGCAUGGAAUAAUAGCAUCGGAUCUCGCUCCAAAGCUGUUGGUUUCUUGGGUCGAGAUAAAGGUGAAUAGGGAUUGUUGGGGGCAUUCGUAUUUAACUGUCAGAGGUGAAAUUCUUGGAUUUGUUGAAGACGGACUACUGCGAAAGCAUCUGCCAAAGAUGUUCUCAUUGAUCAAGAACGAAAGUUAGGUGAUCGAAGACGAUCAGAUACCGUCCUAGUCUUAACCAUAAACUAUGCCGACUGGAGAUAGGGGGUCGUUAAAUUGGUGACGCCUUCUGCAUCUUGAGAGAAAUCAAAGUCUUUGGGUUCCGGGGGGAGUAUGGUCGCAAGGCUGAAACUUAAAGGAAUUGACGGAAGGGCACCACCAGGAGUGGAGCCUGCGGCUUAAUUUGACUCAACACGGGGAAACUUACCAGGUCCAGACAUAGUGAGGAUUGACAGACUGAUAGCUCUUUCGAGAUUCUAUGGGUGGUGGUGCAUGGGCCGUUCUUAGUUGGUGGAGUGAUUUGUCUGGUUAAUUCCGUUAACGAACGAGACCUUAACCUGCUAAAUAGGCUCCAGAAUCUUCGGUUCCAGGAGGCCUUCUUAGAGGGACGUCGCGUGUCUAACGCUAGGAAGUGUGAGGCAAUAACAGGUCUGUGAUGC
rnacentral:rRNA from 1 species